rfam:Danio rerio chromosome 4, GRCz11 reference primary assembly.
GGCCCAGUGGCCUAAUGGAUAAGGUAUCACUCUUUGAAGUUGGGGAUUGUGGAUUCAAGUCCUGUUUGGGUUG